AAAUUCAUCAAUACAAGCCUUUAUAUAAGGUACCCGCGGGUAAUAAGGCCUAAGUGAUAGAAAUGCUAUUUAAAAUAACCGCUUCCGCUAAAGACUUCUCUAGUAUAAGCGUCUAGCAUAGAAAUGUCGCUACAAGUUUAUAGAGUCCCGAUACAAUGUUCCCUGUCUUCUAUAUUUCAUCAUCCUAAAUAUGCUAAAGUAGCGCGGAAAAAUUCUUAAAAAACGGUUUGAGUAAAUGGUAAACAUUUUUUAUAAUUUUAUAUUUAAUAAUUUAAAAUCAUUGUUCUAAUUUUUAUCAACAUCUUAAGAAGCAUUGUUGCUAAAUUUAAGUGAUGAUUGAUCUAUAAUACCAAUUUUAUUAAGUAUAGUAUAACUAUUUCCAGUAUGUUUAACCCGCAGGCCUUAUUACCCUACCGUAGUAAAAUUCCGCCUAUUCUUAAGGUUUUUGAAAAAAUUUAAUUUUGUGUUUGUUUAUGGUGAAAAUUACCAUUACUUCAUUAUAAUUUGUAGCUAAUGUAUUAAUAUAAAAAUUAACGUUACAUUUCAAUAAUUAAAUGCAAUAUUUUCGAUUUUUUUCAAAAUCUCCCUUAGCUAGGCCUUAUUACCCGCCGGUACCUUAUUUUAU